rnacentral:rRNA from 1 species
UACGAGGGGGGCAAGCGUUGUUCGGAUUUAUUGGGCGUAAAGGGUGCGUAGGCGGUUUGGCAAGUCUUAUGUGAAAUCUUCGGGCUCAACCCGAAGCCUGCAUAAGAAACUGCCGGGCUUGAGUAUGGGAGAGGUGAGUGGAAUUUCCGGUGUAGCGGUGAAAUGCGUAGAUAUCUGCAGGAACACCCGUGGCGAAGGCGGCUGGCUGGGUCGCAACUGACGCUGAGGGACGAAAGCUAGGGGAGCAAACAGG